UGCCUAACACAUGCAAGUCGAGCGAUGACUUUCCUUCCGGAACGGAUUAGCGGGGGACGGGUGAGUAACACGUGGGCAACCUGCCUUAGCCAGGGGAAUAGCCUUCCCAAAGGAAGAUUAAUACCGCAUAAGAUUGUAGCUUCUCAUGACGCGUCAAUUGAUGGAGCAAUCCGCUAUAAUAUGGGCCCGCGGCGCAUUAGCUAGUUGGUGAGGUAACGGCUCACCAAGGCGACGAUGCGUAGCCGACCUGAGAGGGCGAUCGGCCACAUUGGGACUGACACACAGCCCAAACUCCUACGGAAGGCAGCAGUGGGGAAUAUUGCACAAUGGGCGAAACCCUGAUGCACCCUCACCGCGUGAGUGAUGACGGCCUUCGAGUUGUAACGCUCUGUCUUUGGCGACUAUAAUGACGGAACCCAAGGAGGAAGCCACGGCUAACUACGUGCCAGCAGCCGACGCUAAUACGUAGGUGGCCAGCGUUGUCCGGAUUUACUGGGCGUAAAGGGAGCGUACGCGGAUUUUUAUAGUGGGAUGUGAAAUACCCGGCCUCAACCUGAGUGCUGCAUUCCAAACUGGAAAUCUAUAGUGCAUGAGGCGAAAGUGGAAUUCCUAGUGUAGCGGGGAAAUGCGUAGAGAUUAAGAACAACACCAGUGGCGAAGGCCACUUUCUGGACUGUAACUGACGCUGAGGCUCGAAAGCGUGGGGAGCAAACAGGAUUAGAUACCCUGGUAGUCCACGCCGUAAACGAUGAAUACUAGGUGUAGGGGUUGUCGUGACGUCUGUGCCGGCGCUAACGCAUUAAGUAUUUCGCCUGGGGAGUUCGGUCGCAAGAUUAAAACUUAAAGGAAUUGACGGGGGCCCGCACAAGUAGCGGAGCAUGUGGUUUAAUUUGAAGCAACGCGAAGAACCUUACCUAGACUUGACAUUUCCUGAAUUACCAUGUAAUGUGGGAAGUCUUUUCGGGGACAGGAAGACAGGUGGUGCAUGGUUGUCGUCAGCUCGUGUCGUGAGAUGUUGGGUUAAGUCCCGCAACGAGCGCAACCCUUAUUGUUAGUUGCUAUCAUUUAGUUGAGCACUCUAGCGAGACUGCCCGGGUUAACCGGGAGGAAGGUGGGGAUGACGUCAAAUCAUCAUGCCCCUUAUGUCUAGGGCUACACACGUGCUACAAUGGCCGGUACAACGAGAUGCAAUUCCGUGAGGUGGAGCAAAUCUAUAAAACCGGUUUCAGUUUGGAUUGUAGGGUGAAACUUGCCUACAUGAAGCUGGAGUUAGUAGUAAUCGGGAAUCAGAAUGUCGCGGGGAAUUCGUUUCCGGGCCUUGUACACCCCGCCCGUCACCCCAUGAGAGUUGGCAAUCCCCAAAGUUGGUGAUGUAACCCGUAAGGGAGGAAGCCACCUAAGGUAGGGUCAGCGAUUGGGGUGAAGUC
rnacentral:rRNA from 1 species